rnacentral:lncRNA from 1 species
GAUGCCAGCAGCUCAUGACCCCUGUUUUUCAUGAAACUUUUAUCAGCACCUCUGGAAAAUGGAAGGAUGAAAUCACUCUAAAAUUUGUUGCCUGAAGCCCUAACAUUACAAAGAAGCUGACAUUGAAAAGAUUUUUGUGCCAUAGUAAGAAGAAAGUCUUGGUACAGGGACUACUCAGGGAGAGAAAGACCACGGUACUGUGCUUGUGGCUGUCAAUUGAAAG